rnacentral:lncRNA from 1 species
UGAACACAGAUGGCACAUAAGCACAGAGAUCAUCCAAGUUUCUCGUGGACAUUGGAGGGGCGAGAUGAAUGGCCCACUGCACAGAGUCAGCCUGAAGGCCCACGAUGUUGGCACUGUUCCUCCGGCAUUCAGAGCAGCCCUGAAGCUCUGCCAAUCACACCU